GACGAACCGUGCAAACGUUGUUCGGAUUCACUGGGCUUAAAGGGCGCGUAGGCGGCUUGUCAAGUCAGGGGUGAAAUCUUUCGGCUCAACCGGAAAACAGCUUCUGAUACUGGCAGGCUGGAGGGAGGUAGGGGCAGAUGGAACUUCCGGUGGAGCGGUGAAAUGCGUAGAUAUCGGAAGGAACGCCGGUGGCGAAAGCGAUCUGCUGGACCUCUUCUGACGCUGAUGCGCGAAAGCCAGGGGAGCAAACGGG
rnacentral:rRNA from 1 species